rnacentral:tRNA from 1 species
GGAGAGAUGGCUGAGCUGGUCUAAGGCGCACGACUGGAAAUCGUGUAAGCGUUGAUAGCGCUUCAAGGGUUCGAAUCCCUUUCUCUCCGCCA